CAAAUUUUCCUCUGUAAGGUUACAUCAUCUUAUUCGUACACAGGCAAUAGAGGAAAGAGCCUAUUUUUAGAGGUAGGGUAGUUGGGCAAAGAUCCUGAUAAGUCCAUCAACAAAGACCCUCAUUCCUCAAUAUCCUGCCAUGGAUAGGGCAAAGACAUGAAAGGAAAGGAGUGAAACCUGGAUUUCCAUUUCUGUGAGAAAAUGCCAUGAGGCAAUCAAUUUAUAAGGGAAAGGUUUGUUUUGGCUCAUAGUCCCUUCAGAGGUUUGUGUCAGCAGUUGCUUGGCUCUCUUGCUUUGUGCCUGUGGUUGUACAGUGCACCACAGUGAAAGCACAUGCCCAC
rnacentral:lncRNA from 1 species